rnacentral:misc_RNA from 1 species
AGCUAUAACUUGUAUUCGGAGAAUGACUUGCCCAGCUGCCAAAAUUAGCUCCAGACCAUCAAGAGACUGAACCUUCUUAAAGCCUCUUCACAAUUUCUUCAUUUACACGAUCAUAGUAAGUCAUUCUCCGAAUACAAGUUAUAGCUUCUUCAAAUUUCUCACUUUGAAAAGCAUUUGCAAAGGAAUUAGACCAAUGUUGCAAUUUUUCUCUCAUCUGGGAUUGAAUCUCAGUUAAAGCUUUAGAGUCAGGUGCCUCUUCAACCGCUUCCCUGAUUUCCAUAAUCUCCGCUAACAAUUGUGGUUCUGAAAUUGUUUCUUCUUCAUUAACAUUUACUCCUUCAAGCUUUAAAAUGUAUAUUGCCCUUAACCGCGGAUUGCGAAGAGUUCUGCACGCAUCAGUCACCCGAGCAGACUGCUCCGCCGCAAAAUCUCUCUCUUUCUGAGAUUUCGAAUGAACUAAAUCAGGAUGCAAUUUUUUCUGCCAGUCUUUGUACUUCCCUUCCAGAUUCUCAUCCUUCAUUUCAUACUUCUUCUCCAGUCCAAAUAUCUGGAAGUAAUCAAUAGACUGAUCAACGGGCUGGAUGGUUCCACACGAUUCACAAGCCAGAAAC